UAAGAGGUCCCGCCUGCCCUGUGACUAUAUGUUUAACGGCCGCGGUAUUUUGACCGUGCGAAGGUAGCGCAAUCACUUGUCUUUUAAAUGAAGACCUGUAUGAAUGGCAUAACGAGGGCUUAACUGUCUCCUCUUUUAAGUCAAUGAAAUUGAUCUUCCCGUGCAGAAGCGGGAAUACACCCAUAAGACGAGAAGACCCUAUGGAGCUUUAGACACCAAAGCAGCUCAUGUUUAAAAACCCUUAAAUAAAAGACUAAACCAAAUGAAACCUGCCCUAAUGUCUUUGGUUGGGGCGACCGCGGGGAAAUAAACAACCCCCAUGUGGAAUGGGAGCACCCCUCCUAAAACUAAGAGCUACAACUCUAAGCAACAGAACAUCUGACCAGCAAGAUCCGGCAAUGCCGAUCAACGGACCGAGUUACCCUAGGGAUAACAGCGCAAUCCCCUUUUAGAGCCCAUAUCGACAAGGGGGUUUACGACCUCGAUGUUGGAUCAGGACAUCCUAAUGGUGCAGCCGCUAUUAAGGGUUCGUUUGUUCAACG
rnacentral:rRNA from 1 species